AACAUCUCAAAUUGUUAACUUUGAAUUGCUGAUGAAUCACGCGUUCAAAAUUUUCUUGGAGUGGGAUCAUGUGAAACGGUAAAUUCUUAAUUGGUUUAUUAGGAGCGCUUGAUAUAUUAGAUAACCAGCCAACUGAAUCAAUGCGCAUGUCUCUUUUCAAGAAAUAAAUAUAAAAAAUACUUGCGUAUACAAUCAUGAAAAUUACGAAAAACCAAUUCGUAAAUUCCACCUAACCUUUUAAUGUCUCCAAUUUGGUGAAGAGUGUAAUUUCAUCCGUGCAAUCAUGAGACAUUGGAUAAAUAAAUACAAUGUCAGGUUAUGCAUAAUUUGACCCAUUCUACUUAUGUAUGUGCACCUAAGAUAAUUAGUAUCGGAGAACAAUCACGUCAAUGGCACGGGAGAUGCGACCCUUGUCUGUUUGAAACUACAUAAUAUACCGUUUAAAUAAUGUGCCUAAUAUCAGCUGUAAUUUAUGGGGAGUUUUAAACUUCUUAUCAGUUUGUACGAUAAUGUCGCUUUAAUAAUUGCGUUGAAUCACCUCGGUGGCGUUUAUUUAGAACAGUAUUGUUACUCCUCAACGAAAUCUUGAAGUAUUCAUAAAUACGCAUUAAAACGAUGUUUAAUCCCUACAUCUUAAAGAUUUCAGGAUAAGUCACAACUAUCAGACAUUCGCUUGCAGGGCAAGACUUUGUAUGAUAACAGACUAGUUCUUAUCUUUCUCUUUCAUUUGUAACUAAAAGUGUCACGUUUUUUAAAUUUGUUCACUGACCUUUGAUUUGAUGCUUAUUGUUAUAGUUUCAGUAUCCGUAUCAUUUCUCUUUAAAUAUAAUCUCUUCUAUAAUCUCUUUGGUUAACCCUCAGUACAUAUUCUCAAUUAAUGUAAGGAAGAAGAACUAUGUAGAAAAGGUUAAUUUGCGAAAAAUUAUGAGAAAUGAUCUUCGUCGGUGUAUUUAUUUUAUAAAUCAUGAUUACUCAUCUAGAACUCGGACAGAAAAUCAUCGACACGUAUAAUUUGAUUUGCCUCUGAUGUUCGGAGAAAAGUCAACUUUGCAUCGUAUGGUAAUCUGAGAAACCAGUUCAAAUUGAACGAAACUUAGUGCGGGAAUAUUUUCUCUGAAUAAAGAGAUACUUUCGUAGCGUCCUAGAAAAAAGAUCGUAAAGAACGGGCCGAAUAAGUACAAAUAUGUGCAAAAUUCUAAGCCGUAUUUGAUAAGGGGGUGGCCCGGGGUGUGGGAGGAGGCUGGCGGGACGUCUAGACGCGGCGUAAUUAGGAAGGUAGAGCGUAGGCAGCCGACGCGGACGAACCCGGCCCGCCCUGAACGUUGCGUCACCUCUAAUUAAUAUAACAGGUAAAUUACGCAUUAUGGGUGCCAACAACACUGCUUUAAUAUUUUAAUAGCCAUGUGAAUUAAAAGGACGUGAUGAGUUUCCUAUAGAUGAGCAGUUUAAGCCUUAAUGCCUCUCUUAAUAUUAAAUCUAUUGACAUCAAUGAGAAAAUGGUCCAAUUUUGCUGAAACAAAAUGUACCAAACAGCUUGGAUUUAUAACUUGCAAUGGAGUUACGGCUGUAUUCUAGAGCAUCGUAGUAGCAUGAAGGAAAUUUUAUUUGUCUGUACUUGUUACGAGUAUAUCGGUCUGUGUCCCCGAAACGGUUCAAUGACGUGUCUCGCGGAUUUCGUCUUGUUUAUCUCACUAUUCCUCUGGCGUAUCUACUGUACCUAUUCAUGAGUAAAUAAACUUUAUGUAAUGAGCGUUCUUGACGUUAGCCGUUGUAGUCGAUGUAGAACAGGAUGCAUUCAAACUAGAUGUCUUAUUAAGUAUUAUAAAGUCGUCGUAAGUUGUGUGCCAAAAAUAACACUUAGUAAUGACCAACCUACAUUCUGGCUCUUAAUCUAAUAAUAAACAGAGCAUUACCCUAGUAAAUCUAAAAUGUGUUUUUUAAUCGUACUUUUUUCUUUUGUUUAUUUCCGUGCCCGUUGUUUGUGAUAAUAAACACUCUCCGUCUUACCACAAAAACUUAUAAACGUCAGUUUAUGCCUUGUCUAAAAAAAUGACAUAUUAUGACGUUGACAUAUGGUUCAUUUUGCAGCCAAAAUUUUAUUAGACAAGUGUAAAACAGGGUUUAAAGUUUUUGUAGUAAGGCCCUCUAGAUUUGCGAUGUAAAGGCAUCUAAUGAUAUUGUAUGUUUUAAAUGUUACCACAUGUUAUGACGCAAAUGUACCUUGCGUGGUAAUUUGAAAGAUAAUUUUGGUAUUAGUGGAGUUGAACUACUCUACUUCUUGUGUAUUUGAUUGAGUGCUCAAGUUGAAUGAAUUUUUUUUAUUAAGAAUUUGAUGUACCUACAAGAGAGACGAGACAAACAGAAGAUUUGAAACUGCGUAGAAUCGACCAAGUGAAAUAUUGCGUAGUGUUCGGAGCUCUUGAAUAAAGGGGAGCUCUACUUAGUCUUUCAAAUCGUCUAGAAGUACGUUUCCAAAGUUGAUUUAGGCAAGAAUUAUUUUUUUAAAGAAUAGAAUACAUCUAACAAGACAUGGAUUUUGUAAUACCCAUGGCUGUAGAGUAACCUUAGUGGUAGUGGCUUUUUUCAUCAGUAUUGAGUUCAACAUUAUUGUCUUCCUCCUGCGCUUUUCUUAUAUUUUUUAUGCGUCAGCCUAGCAUGUUUUCUUUAUCCAUACUCUUUCGUCUGCCGAAUCUCACAAGUAACAUUGUUUUUAGCCAUGUCGACUUUCAACAAUCGAAACUUCAAGUUAAUAAUUAAUAAUAUAAUAAUAAUAUAAUAAUUUAUUUAUUUCACAAAAUAGGACUUUUUGCACUGUAUACAAGAUAAAGCAUUAAUAUAAACAAUAUCAUAUUAUCAGCACAAUAUACACAACUCUAUCCCUUAAACUAGGUCUAACCUGUAUCUUAAGAGAUAGGGUUCAGCUACAAGGUAACAAAAUUUAUAAUAAUAUGACAUUCGAUAGCGAGUACUAAAACAAUUAAAACAGUGUCGGUGUAACAUUAACAAACAAAAAAUAAAAAUAGAAGAUAUUAAAAAAAUUUAAAAUAGACAAGUCUUUAUUUAUACUGUAUAAAAGAAAGAGAUGAAAAAAUAAAAAAUAAAAGUGAAGUGUGUUUAGUGUUUUGAGUGUAUUGUUAAGAGUUUGUGUAUGUGAUGCACAUCAUCACUUGUGUGUGUAUGUGUGUGUGUGUGUGUGUGUGUGUGUGUGUGAGUGAGUGGUUUUUGAAAUUCUUUAUUACGAGAUGAAUGUUAGGAGAUUCUCUGUUGUAAGGUAGUCUUGUUGAAGUAGCCAUUGAGUGAUUUUACCUUUGAGAGUGUGCCUGUUUAGGUCAAGAAUGUUCAGACUUUUGUGUACUUUUUUGUAUAUGUAGGUACUUAUAACAUAAUGUUGGCGUUUAGCAAAUGUAGUUUUAUGACGUACACCUGAUGGGACAUUUGUGCGUUUUUUUGGGUUGGAUUUGGGAAUACUUCUAUGAGUUCUGAGGAUAGAUUGCAAGAUGAAGAGCUGUCUGACUGUUAGCACUUUACAGUCAUUAUAAAGUUGUUUAGUUGGAUACAAGUAUGGCUUCUUGGUCAUUACUUUAAGUACAGCUCUCUGAGCUCUCUCUAACCUCAGGAAAUUGGUUUUACAGGUACCACCCCACGCAGUAAUGCAGUAUCCGAUAAUCGACUGACACAGUGCAAAAUAUACCAUUUUCAAUGUGUCUAUAUCAGCCGACUCCCUAAGCAAUUUAAAAACAUAUAUAAGUCGCAUUGUUCUGUUGGUAACCAUUUCCAGCUGUUUGUCCCAUCGUAGGCCGUCAUCUAUAAGCAGACCCAGGUACUUCACACAUUCACUCCUUACUAGUAUGGGACAGGAGCAAGGUGCUGCAGAGUUGGAGCAGGUGUGAGCAGUUACAACAAAACUCUGAGGUGGCUUAGUGUUUUGCCGAAUUGCGAAAGGGAUAAAACAGGAUUUUUCCACAUUUAGGGUAAGGAGAUUUUGGUGAAACCACAGCAUAGUAAUUUUUAGAGCAGCUUCUGCCUUACUUUUAACCUCUUCCCAGGUGGAACCAUAAAUGAUCAAAGCAGUAUCGUCUGCAUAUGCAUAGACUUUACAGUUUGGGAGGGUAAUCCUGCAGAGAUCAUUUAUGUAUAUUUGGAAUAGUGUGGGACCUAAUAUACUUCCCUGUGGCACACCGUACGACACGAUUUCCUCCCUACUGAGAAAACCAUCUAUUUUAACUUGUUGCGUACGGGUUUUAAGAUAGUCCUUAAAGAUGUCAAGGGCAAAUCCACGUAUACCCAAGAGCUCUAGUUUUGAUAUAAGCUUGGGAACAGGAACUCUGUCAAAAGCUUUCGAGAGAUCCAGAAAUAUCCCCAAACACUUAGCCCCACUAUCUAAUUUUGCAGCUACAAAUUGUGUCAGAUCUAAAACAGCAUCUUCAGUCGAGACCCCAGGCUUGAAGCCAUACUGGUUCUCAGCAAUGAUAUGCUGUUUAUUUAAAAAGCCUCUUAGCUGCCUGUUAAGGAUCUUUUCCAGUAUUUUGGAGAGCGAGGGCAGAAUGGAGAUUGGCCUGUAAUUGUUGACACAGGUCCUGCUCCCACUCUUAUAAAUGGGGUGGACUAUGGCUUUCUUUAGUCCGUUUGGAAAUGUUCCUGAUUGCAAGGAGAGAUUGCAGAUGUGUGUAAUGGGAGGCACCAGAACGCGGUGACAAAUUUUUAAUAAGUUAGAUGAUAUUCCAUCCCAGCCCACAGAGCAAUCAUUGCGUAACUGUAAGAUGAUUGAUUCCACCUCGUCUUCAUCAGUGUUUAGUAUAACGAGGGAGCUAGCUGGGGAUGAAAAUAUUGUAUUUGUAUAUUGAGUACUGCAGGGGGAAUUAUUACUUAGACUUUUAGAUUUUAGUAUACCUGCUGCUAAAUUUUUGCCAACAUUGCUGAAGAACGAACAUACUUCAUUAACAGAAGAGUGAGGAUUAUCACAUAGUUUAAGCAAUUGAUCGGCACUGGUACGCUCUCUGCGAGUAUUAGUGAUAUCCUGUAUGGUUUGCCAAAGAGCUUUAGGGUUAUUUCUAGAUUUUUCUAGUUGACGUUUCUCAAAGGCUAUUUUAAGUUAUGAUCAUAUUGUUGAAUAUCGGGUUGUUAUCACUGAAACAACGAACAGGUCGAGUUGAACCUGUCUAAUAACUUAACCCAAAGUUUGACUGGAGGCAAAUAAUAAUUGCUUGGGUUAGGUCAGCUCUAACAAUAUCUAUUUGACCGUAAAGUUUGGGUGCAAUAACUGAAUUGGAAAAUGCUAGGCAACUGCCCACCUUGUAAGAUACCCACUGAAAUUUGCGUCAUUUUGCAACGAAAACACAUAAUGUUGUUGUUAUAUUCCCACAUAGACGAUAUACGCGCGUAUCAUUGUCAUUCGGGACGCUGCGAAUGACACUAUGUUGAAGGUCAUUACAAGUGAGGAUGUGCGGAGUAAUGGUCGUGUUCCUUUGCGGAGCGCGAGCGACGGCCGCGCCGAGAUGCUGCUAAUACGAGUUGUUUGUCAACGUCGGCGUCGACUGGUGCCGCCGGUCGCCGGUCGCUAGCUAUAAAUAAAUAACAUAAGCAACGCGCCGCGUCAUCGCCGUCACUUCACGCGAAAUACGGUCGCGCAAACAAUUGCCAUUGUCUAUGUGAAUGCAACGCCAAGCCGAUGUUAUUCAGGGACGUUAAUGCAUUUAGGAUGAAUGGCGUGUGUCGUAACGUUUUGUUACGUUGUUCAUACGUUUCUGUUGUUUAUCUGCCUUUGACGAAAUUAGUACCUACCAUUUUAUGAGUUUUCAUUUAUGUGUCAGCUGGCUAUUAUUAGUAGGUAAUAAGUGUCUAGAAAACCGAGCCUUCGAUGUAGGUAUGUGUUUUUGAGGCCCAUUGAAAAAAUAAUAAUGAAUGUCACGAUAGUAUCAUACUUUCGGCAGCAAUAUUACGUAGUACGUACUACUGCAGCAUCUAGAAAUGACCAUAUGGAAGACACAGUAUAUUUACAGGCAAGUGAAUGUAUAGUUGGUAUAAGUCGGGAGCCGCGGCUGGUGGCGGUAAAUAGCCGGUUAUUUCUAUCGAUCCCGCGGCCCUCCAACUAAGUCCUUAGAGUACGACAACAUUGUUGUGAGGACUGACUCUCGCUACGUGUAGGUACUAAGCGAGUGCUUUUAUUAUACGUUUAUACAUGGACACUGGCACGACUGACGUAUAUUUGUCGAAUAGUGACUAUGCAGUAUGUAGGAAGGUGAACUGACCUACGUCUGUCGUGUAACAAACUACAUUACUACAGUGCGUCAGUUUCCUGAAAUGUAUAAGGUUUUUAUCAUAAAUGUAAACGACUAUGGAAUAGGAAUUAUUAUUUAAAAAAUAUAAUAUUGUCAAGUAAAACUACCUAAUUUUGAUGAGACCCAAAGAAGGUAGGCGGAUUGAUAUAGGUCAUGGUCAUAAAAAAACAGGAAAGAUUUGCUUCUCUGACCUACAUUACACAGAUACGUCACUUACAUAGUAAGUAGUCAGUUACAAAUAAUAAAGCAGUUUGUAUUCUCAAUAUUAAUUUGGCAUACCGAAAAGAUGUCGCAGGCAGAGAGAACUCAGGUGGAAAUCAUUUCAACUCGUAUUGUUAAUUGUCCUUACUUACAUACUCGCGUGUGUGCGCAUACUUUUGCAAAAUCAAUUUGAGGUCGAGUAUGCAAUAUCGAUUUUGUGCCGUGAGGUGCGGGCUAUGGGCGGCGACGCGGCGCGGCGGCGGCGGCGUAGCGCGGGUGGCGCGUAGCCGACCGAUGUAGGGAUGCAGCAAGAAUGCGACACGGCCGGUACGCGCCGCGCUCUUCUGGGACGAGAGCCCGUCAAACUUACUAUAGUACGCGCCAAAUAAACUUGCAAUAAAGGUCAUUCAACCGCCCCGCCGUCAGGGGCGCAUCACCUGUUCGCCAUUUUGAAACAAUGUCCUUCCGUCAUUUCGAAUUUGGAAUGCGCUUGUCUGCCCAUAUUUGAACUAAAAACGACUGAUCAUAAUUUUGACCAAAGGUUUGUAAUCCUUUGCGACAAGGACGCCUCCUACCACGAUACACUUGUAUUGAUCGUGUUAGCGACACUGCCCAUACAUUUUUUUCGUAUCGUUUUGAAAUAUUGGGAUACAUUGGUAGAAGGAGGUGAACGAACUUUAUUGCACGCUUAUUUGGCGCGUACUAUAGUUAAACUGGAAACUGGUAUGCUGGCGCAUCACUACUCAUUAACUUUACUUGCGUUUAACUUUGUUUCUAGUUUCUUUUUUACAGAGAAUAAAGGUCUGUAAGAUGUUGAAAUCAGAAUAAAUAUAUAUUGUUUUAAUUAUACGAUUUAUGAUGACUCAUGAACCAAUCGAUGGCUUGUUGCGUGAACGGUGAGUUACGCAGCUGCCGGUGGCAUGCGGUGGUCGCGCUACGUGUGUGCGUGGCCAGUGCGUGGUGGCACUUUCUCCGACACCAGGAGUCGGUGAGCUGGACACUGGCGUGCAUAUUUCCUCGUCAUUUUUGCGCGCGCAUGAGGCCGCAAGCGCGGUCUCGAUUGUUUUCGUCGUGUUUCGCGGGUUAUUUCGGGCGUGUGCGCCGCGGCAGUGCAAGCCACUCGCGCACGUCCGACUGUCCACAACGCUACCACUACAACACUUGAUAUUCGAUCGUUGAUGUUGUAUAUUUUGAUAGAGCUGGAAAUCAACGGGCAUUUUUUGUUCAAAAUCGUAAUUGAAAAUUGUAUUGUAGGAUUAGGGUAAUCCUAUAUCGACAAUUGUUAGUACCUGUUUAUAUCUUUAUUUCUUCACUUAAGAUAUCUAUUUCCACUGAAAUGGGCCUUAACCGGUACUACCGAAACUACGUAAGCUUUUGAACAAGCUUUUUCAACACGUGCUGCUCAGCGAAUGGAUAAAGUUAAUCCAAAAUAAUAAUUGGAACUAACUAGUUUUCAGCAGCGUUUACUAUAAGAAUUUAGAUAUCGAUGAGAGAUACCUAGAUAGAUCACGCAUCGCAGGUAUGCAUGGUACAUCUGAAAUGUUUUAGGAUUUAUGUUUUAGUUGGCUAUUUAGGCACUCAUAUAAUAUUUUUAUACGAAUAUUAAUCAUUCACGUUUUUUUUUAUUACAGGUGUCGUUUUAUGUUCCAAGUGUAAUUUAAUGUCUUGUUUAGGCCGUUCGAUUUCUCCGAGUUGUUUUUUCCUAUAUUUAUUCUAGCUGGCCACUGACUUCUACUUUUUUAAGUUUAAAAUGCAAUAAAUAUGUAAAAUGGAUUCGCAAACAAAUACUGUUCCGUUAUUGUGCGCAUUUUAUUAUUGGCUAAAUGGCCGUUUUAAAUGUUUUAUUAGUAGCAUCGAGGAAAGCCUACGUGGUAAGCAGGUUACCGGAUUCUAGAUAUUUUAGCGCCGAAUUUAUGAUUACUUGAACAUCUCUUAAGUGUUAUGCGAAACGUUGAGCUGAGGGGUAGCGGCGGUCGUAGGUCGUCGGCAGAGGCCGGGCUCGGGCGUCGGCCCCGCGACCCACUUCCUCCCUGGCCCUCCCCCGGCCCCCGCCAGCGCCUCCCGUCCCACACUCCUUUAUCACAGUGAUAACAAGAAGUUGGCCUGAUCCUGCAGUAGUCUGGACCAACUUGGUGCACAAGCACCAACAUUUAUCAUACCCCUACGUCGUACAUUUGAGUGCAAACAUUUAGAGAUAGGUGUAUCUUCUAAAAUAAUGACUGGUUAUUAGAUACAUUUAUAUUUUUCUCAUUGAUGCUUCUCGAAAUAGGCGGAUUUGGAAAAAAGUAUGAGAGGGCCCUGCAUUGUAGAGGCCGGGUAAAACUAAACAGUGUUUGCUAUCAGAUUGCAGUUCAAAAUAUUCAUCCGAGAAAUUGUUGAAAUGAAUGUUAAACGUCUACAGUGCCAUUAACAGUCGAAAGAAUCCUUAGCAUAGCUAACAAAUACCUAUAUUGACUGUUUAUUUAUCUGGUGAUUAGGUAUGUUUGUGCAGUUUCUUAGUAUAAGAACAAGUGGUUUGAAUUUAGCUAGCGAGUCGUGAACUAAAACUAAAGUUAUAUAUAAACAAUCUUAAGAAAUCCAAAAUAAAACUUGUAAACAUAACUGCACGAGCAAAAAAAACCUGAUCCUAUUAAGUAUGUAUAGAUACUGAGAAGAGUUAGCAAAGCAUUCAUAUCAAGAAUAUCUGACGUCAUUUAAAAUAUCUCGCGUAUUGUUGCGAUGACCCAGCUCAAAAGCGGGGUUACCAGAUUUUUUACUCGUGUCUCACAUAUUUUGCGAUUUAUCUAAACUACUUUAAAAACCUGUCUUGGUUAAUCGGAUUUAAACGAUAUUCCAAAUGCAUAAUUCACCAUAUGAACGUAAUAGUGCAACAUGCUUGACCUUUCCGUGAAUCUGAAAUCGGGCGUCGCGACAUACGUAGGUAUGUCGGAGAAUAUUUACGAUCGAUCGAAAGGAAUAAAUCGAUUGGCGUAAACAGUAGCGGAGUGGUCGGCGGCCGUGUUGUUGGUGUAAAUAUUGAGCAAGGUGUGGAGAGGCGCUGGCGCGAUGGCGAUGCGACAAAGGCUAUGGUGUCGCGGUUGGCCAGAGGGCGACAGGCGGCUGUGUCUGCCGGCGGCGGCGCGCCGCGUUCGACGACCUACCGUCUCAAGGCCGCUCUUACACGUGCCAGUCGUGCCACCGGGCGCUUCCUGCCGCCGCCAUAACAAAUCUCUCCCCGCCCCACACCCUCUCGCCCAGCCCAGCCAAGCGCUGCUUCGGGACCGAAUGGGAUCCCAGAGCGCACGCAUCUUACCCAAUCCUUACCCGAUUCUUAGAAGAGGUCCUUUCCUAAAGCAAUCAUUCACAAGAUUUAAUAUGAUUUCAGAUUUUUCAGGCUUCAGCUACGAAAUAAUAAACUUAGCUAUAAUUCGUUCGUUCCUUCGGGAAAAUUGUAUUUGGAUUCGGAUUCUUAAAUGAAAAACGUAUGAUGUGUUUCUGCCAACGUACCUAAUCAUUUUUUGUCGAUACAAUGAUUUGUGAGAUAACUUAUAAUUUUUCGUGUAAUGUAGAUAGAUAGAUAUUUUCAGUGGAUAUGAAUUUGGUUUUGUAUGUAAUAUGUCUUUUCGGCGCAAAGGACCUGGGAACCUAAUCAAUAUUGCCACCUGUUGCUUUCGUGAGAUUGACUUUUGAUUGUUGAGACCGGCUUGAUGACAUUGUAGUCAGGAUUCAAGUUUGGUUUAGUAUGGUUUAGUUAGGUAAGUGUGGCUUGGAACUUUAGUUAUAUAAACAUCCAAUUAGUAAAAUGUGGAAAAACAUGUAUCGCCUACUCUUCCAGAAUUCUUCGAAAUGUUGUGCAAACAGCACACGCCUAUACACUUAGCUAAUGACGGCGUAACAGCCAGGCCCAACAUUACCGGGGUCACUCAGAUGUCAUUAACAAGAGUAUGUGCUCAUAAAGAAGUCUUCCAGGUAGAAUAGUGCGUAUUAUAGGAAAAUCGUAAAGUAAAUACCCAAUUUGUAAUAAGUUACUUGAUAUCUGACUUGAUAAGCUGUUACAGAACUGCGUAUUAAAGGUUACAGAUGGCUAUCUACUAAUUUUCCCGAAAGAAUUAAAUGGGUAUUAUCUCUACACACAACAUAUGUUUGCUCUGCAUGUCAUUGUUAUUCUGAAAAACCCAUUUGAGAAUCGCCACGAGCUAAUAUGUAUAUGUAUAGGUAGAAUAUUAUAUCAGCCAUAUGUAUAUAGUCGGGUUAGUGUCAGCAUAUACAUAGCUAAUCUCCUGACGUAUCAGUAUGAACGAAUGACCCGGAUUCAUUGCUCCCUAGUGUACCUUAUACAUGUAGUUUGUCUAGUUUAUAUUCUUGUUCUUGAAUGAAACAAGUUACACUGCUGUAAAGGAUCCUCAUUUAUUGUGGAGGUUGUUAAUCUUGAUGGCUUAAACGACAAAAUAACACAAUAGCAAGUGGUUAUGUGAUAGAUAGAGCAGAAAAAGUGAUGCAAAGAAAAACGUGUUUCGUUGUGGAAUAUAGAUUUUAGAAGGUAUUGUGUUAUCAUCUUCAGUAAGUUAAUUACAUAUUGAGGAGCGUGACAUCGUAAUACACCUUUAAAGAAAAGUAUACAAAGCCUAAGAUUUUGUAAAAAGUCGUUUCGACAGUCUUUACGGACAGGUCAGAACAUUCUAUAAAUGUAUGUAGCAUUUAUUUACAAGACGCUAGUUUACCACAAAAGCGGAUCAUAAAUUACCCCUUUGACAAUGACUGCAGUUGAAGAAAAGAAAAUUCAUCUUACACGUGCGCGGCCUGACUGAAACUAAAUGUCAAUGUCCCGUCUGUUCAAAUAUGAUUAUGGAAAUGGAUCUCUAUGUAUUACGUACUUCGCCUCAGGUAAAUAGAAUUGGCUAGACACUUACAUUUAGUAUAUCUAAUAUUGAAUUGCUUUUGAUUCCUAUAAUUGCUCUUCCAUCAAGUAAAUAUAAUCCUAGGAUAAGGAUUUCAAUUUAGACUACGGGCGGCUAUCUAUUCUUGGACACUAUUUACUAUUGCUAAAGAAAAACAUUUAGAGAAAACUAUGGCCGAAAAAAUACAAAAGGCUAUCGCUAUUAAGAGAAAAUCCCAAUAAUGAUGGUUAUUUGUAGAAAAAAUCAUAAUGGACAAAUAGAAAUAACAGUCACGCUAAUUAGAGCUCGUAAGCACUCUGGUACCUUUCUGAGGCCGCUGAUUUGGCAGGCACAUUGUUUACUAAGAUCUGUUUCUAAUAUUUAAAAACAAGAUAAAACAGCGAAGACAAUUUUUUUUGUAAUCCUCUCUAACGUAACAAUUGAUUUUCUGUGUCUGUUUGCUACGGGAUGGCACUUUAAACUGGGAACGUGAAAAUAACAUAGUACCUAUCUACACACCUAUGUACAUGCUACACAGAAACCCUACCACAUGAAAGAUUUGAGUGAAACGAAGACGGAAAUGAUUAUUUUCUCACGUCAAGUCUAAACAUCGAGUGCUUACGUUAAACGUAUCGCUUUGUUGGUCGUAAGUAUGUAGUAGACACAUCAAUCAGGCGCAUACGCAUAACGUGAGUGAAUACAUUCGAAGAACAUACUUCAAAGAGGCUGCAAGUACAUACCAGCUAAAUUUUUGAUCGUUUGAAACUUUGUAGUACACGUGAUGAGCUAAAGUGAAGUUGGUGCAACAUGCUUAAGUACCCAUUCUCAAGAUAAAAGUACGAAGGAGCCGUAAGCACAGUUUUGCUGCAUGUUAUGGUAUUUAUCACUGUAAUGUCACGCUUGGUAGAUGUAAACAAAGUUUUUGAAAUAAAUAAUGAACAUCAUUUUAUGUUUUGAAUGAAAUAAUAAAGCCGAGUCAUGAACAAGUUUUUUUUUAAAAUCAUUUUCGUUGAAUUCCCUUUUUUGAUCCCCUUUUCUAUUUUUUAUUUUUAUAUAGUAUGCUACAAAAGCAUUUCCUUUAUUUUUGGAACUAGAAGCUCAUCUUUUUCCGUUGUCUAUUAAUUUGUUUUCACUAGAUCAUUCUGAUUAGUGCAGGUUAUCUCAGUGGCCAGUAACUGCGGCAAUUAAUUGAUAAUAUGUAUAAAUAGUAGUUUCCCGAAGAUUCCUGACGGUUAUAGAAAUCAAUAGUGAUGCAAUUUGAAACGACGAGAGAGUAUGUUUUUGUGACAAUAUAAUUUGCCAUACUGGGUAAAUAAGAUCUAUACGAUAACAUAAAUAGACAAUAAAAGUAAUAUCAUUGCUUCUGUUAGAUAGUGCAGAUAAAAAAAAAUACAUGUAAGUCAGAAAGAAGUAAGAAUAAGUUGUCGGUGAUAUUGUGAUAAAUUCAUGUGUAGAUUUUAGGGCUCCGCUUUUUUUUGUUUAUAAUGCCCGCACAUUGCGGUACAUAUGAAACGAUGCUUUUCAUUGGCAUUAGUAAGUGGAAGUAACUAGUUUUAGUACAGAUCUCUGAAUAAUUACUUUGUGAGCUGUGAACUUGUUGACCAUAAGAUAAAUAGGGCACUUAUCAGAGUUCAAAUGAUGUGUACCUACGUACGCGUAAUGCGGAGAGUCCGAGAUUAUGUUUGAAAGUUAGUCAUGAUGAUGAUUGUAUUAUUAAUACAAGUUCAUCCAGGAAAAUACGACGCGAAAUAUUUGAAUUAAAUAAUAUUUUGUACUAUCUGAAUAGCUAGCCUGCAUUGCGUUAAAACAAUGUAAAGUUUUCAAACGUUUUAAAAACGUUACUUUAAAUUAAAAUGGCUUGUGUAGUCCCCCAUUAUAAAAACUUCAUACACAAUAUUAAACAAUUUUCAUUUACAUUUACACUAAGAGGAAAACGUACAUUCUCGCUCAUGUGUAAAUGGGGAUAUACAGGUUUCAAACCGGAGCUAUGGUUUGACAUUUGUUAUACAAAUAGACGUCGAGAUAAAAUCUGAAGAAAUGGUAGUCACUUAAGCCUCUGAACAUUGUCGUUUAGAUGGCUGAUACAAAAUACAAACGUUGUUGGUAUUACUUGCGUUCCUUAUACAAAAAGAUAAUCCUCUGUAUUGUUUGAGAACUUAUAACUUGACAUUGAAACUGAAGGCCUUCAUGAUGUGACUGAAAUUGGACUUUAAGUUUGAAUGUGGAAAGUACUUACACGACUAGCUUUUGGGCAUGAUCCCGGUGACACUAAGACGCGGAUCAGGUUUUCGAUAUUUUAUUUUAAUUUAAUUUUUCUUAAUUUUUUGUGCUUAAGACAACUACUUGAAAUAUGCAAUUUUAAACGAUUUCUUCAAGACUAGAAGACUCUGCAAAGAAUAGAUUUUCUCCUUUCAGUGCGAUUACGGAUUCACUCAUUUACACAGAUUAACAUAAUGUAAGUGUUUCUCAAAGUUUUUGUUACUGUAGUUACAACGUUACAAUUUAUAGUAUGAAAACAGAAAGGGAAAGUUCCUAAAACCGUAAAUUACUCAAUAGAAAGUUAGUUUAUUUAGGGCUGAUUUUUCAAUCGCCAGAUAACUUUUAUCUGUGGAAUAUAUUUCACGUUUUGACAGCUUUUGUAUGGAAAAUAUGUCAAACCGCCAUAUUUAUUCCUCAGAUAGAAGUUAACUGAUGAUUGAAAAAUCAGCCCUGAGUCAAGCAUUAACUUUCUUGUCUAUAGCAGGAAAUUACCGACUUUAAUGACGUUUACCUCCUUAAAAAACUUGGUGUUUCAGGUUAGCUGUAUAGUUGAUCUCAAUAUGCCGUAUAUAGAAUAUUGUGGCUUUUGAGAUGGCAUAAUUAGAUACCUAUAUUUGGCUUAAAGGUUCUUUCGUUUAUAGAGUGAAUGAUCACAAAAACAUCACUACAGCGCGUUCCUGAGCAAAUGAUCUGAAUGAAUUAGUUUUGUCUUAAUUAAUAAAUUCUUAUUUAUAUAAUUAUGGUAGAACUAACGAUGUUAUUUUAAAAUGAAAUUAUGUGUUGAUUGAUUAAAACUAUUCAUGGUCCACAAAUACUUUUACCGUUGUUUAUUGUAUCUCAUUAUGUUAAAUAGUAGUCAAUUAAAUAGAUAAAAUUAUCGCUGUACAAGACCUUAGACAUGGUCUUAUUAGUGAGCGGCCUAAUUAGCAAAUUGAAUCACGCUUCAAUAUGCCUAUCGGUAUUAUUUGCAUGUGUGUUAACUUGUAUACGCUUAUCGUGGCUUAAUUGCCUCUGUGACCUGUCUGUUCGAUAUAUCUUCAUUUUAUGGUAAUGAUUCCGAGAAACGCGAUUCAAUUGUUUUGUCUUUGUUGAUAUCUCGAGUUGUUCAGUGCCUACAGAUAUAGUAAGUAGAGUGUUGCGUGGAGGGGUCCGUUGCGCAGUGCGUGUGGCGAAUUCGGCUCGACGGCUGAGACGGGGAGGCAGCCGGGGCGGGUGCCGAGGGCGAGGGCUGGCGGCGACGGAACCUUCGCCCUGAUGACCCACAUCCGCGCCCGCCGCCGCACCGCGCGCCGCGCCCUCUGCCGCAUUUCUUUCUACAUUCUCCGUCUCAAUGGAAACGGUCAUUACCUCUGUUGAGGCGUCACACCACGUGCGUGCCAGAGAACGAAAUUGAUAAUAGGUUGAUGAGUGAGUGAAGCAAAACACCGGCGUGCGGCGCAAUGGCGGCACGGCGUGGCGCGGCGCGGGGUCGGCGCGGCGCGUGGGAGAGAGCGCAGGUGUACUGACCGGGGUGCGCGGGCGGCUCGGGCGGCUCGGGCGGCGGCGACGGCUCGGUGGUGUUGGACGGCGCGCUCGCGCAGGCGGCCGCCGACGGCGCAUCUUCCGCGGCGCGGGCGGAGGGCGGCGGCGACGGGCCGGGGGGAGGCGCGCACAGCGCGACCAGCCGCAGCAGCGCCACGCACCACCACCAGAGCACGGCGGCCAGCGCGCGGGCAGCGCGCCCGACGCGGCCCGGGGCCCUCUCGCGACCGAAAUACGCGCACCGUUGACUCGUGCACCGGCGAGCGAGCUCCUUCACCCGGGUAUUCGUGCGGCGUCGGGACGGCUGGCGAGGCGACGCGGGUGCGCGCGCGCGGCCACACGGCGACUGGGGCGCCGUUCCCGACGGCGUACGACCGCGCCCGAACACUAUUUCGGGAGCGACGCUCCGCGCCGCUGCCGCCGCCCGCCCGCCGCACGCUGCCAAUUUUACGCGAAAUUGCGGGCGGGCGGUGAUGCGAUAUGUACCACGCCGCGGCCAC